rnacentral:misc_RNA from 1 species
CGAGACGAAAUCCGGCGCCGGCCAGUACUUCACGCCGCGCCCGCUGAUCGAAUCCAUGGUUCAUCUCAUGAAGCCAAAGCACAACGAGGUGAUCCAGGACCCGGCCGCCGGCACCGGCGGAUUCCUCAUCAACGCAUUCGUGC